rnacentral:lncRNA from 1 species
UGAUAAUUCAGGAGUCAACCAUAUUACAAGAUCAGAUAAUCAUACUCCAAUUACAAAAAAAAAUCAUCAUAUUCCCAUUCUUUGUUUCUACCUCGCUGAGAGGAGAAAAAGGAAAUCGGCUAUCAUAUAAUAUCGUUAGUAAUAGAACCAUAUAGAUACAGAUCGAAUACUAUGACCAGCAGUGUCACCCCAAGUUAACCAUAGAAACAACUGCAAAUGUAAGAAGAUAUAUAUUCAUCCAAGUUACACAAUUUCAGAAGGCAGGUACACUAGAAAGAAAAGAAUAAAGAUAACAAGUAAAAACAAAUAAGAAAACAUGUAUAAAGGUGACGGAGCAUCAACAAGUUUGCAUGGUUUUCUAAGAAGAGCAGCAGCUGGCCUUCUGCUCGACAGGUUGCCCGCGGAUCUGUACAGUAGCUGGGCGAGCGUUGUUUGCGGCUGGCUGGCUCGCCAUCCUGGAAACAUAGGCCAUUGUUUUCAGUAAGUUCUUCAU